ACAAGGACGUGGAGCACGGUCAGCCUCUCCCCGCAUCUACCACAGGUUGGAGGCUCACUUCCGGAAUCUGUUGUCCACACAUUUGUAAGCAAGGAUCCGGAACUAGGCCUCUCUUCCUUGUAAACAGCACACAAGAACUUUUUUGAGGAUUGAUUUUAAAACCAUUUUUCUCUGCCCACCCUGACACCUUGUUCAAGCCAUGCUGUACCUGUCUCUCGCAUACUGCGAGGUUAGAGGAUUUGAAGCCUAUUUGAAUGUCGUCCACAUAGACGGAAUACAAGAUGGCUGGUGGUAAGGACGCACGAAGCGUUGUCAUUUUAACAAUAAAAAGUGUGCAACUGA
rnacentral:lncRNA from 1 species